rnacentral:tRNA from 1 species
GCAUUAGUGGGUCAGUGGUAGAAUUCUCACCUUCUAUGUGGGAGACUUAGGCUCGAUUCUUGGCCAAUGUA